GAGCAAAAGUGUACUCGGGGUGUGGGGACUAGGGUUUGUGGGCAGCGUGUUCCUCGGCCUUCGUCAUUGUGGUUUGAAGGCCAGAAAACCAUGGUCCACCUGACUAGACCAUCGAGUCAACGAAGGAGAUGCGAGGCGAGCGAUGUGCGCAUGCAUACGACACCC
rnacentral:lncRNA from 1 species